rnacentral:lncRNA from 1 species
UCCAAUAUAUAAAAAAAUUAAAUCCUAGGACACACAAGCAACACUUGCAAAAAAUCUCACCACCCUUCUUGUAAAUUUUACCACUCAAUUUUUUCUUGCCUUUUUCUCAAAUUUUUUUCAAAUUUCUUUCUAUGAUUUCUACAUCCCUCCUCUCUAGUUUCAGCCUAAAAUCAUAAUAGAUAGCUAUAUGGGAUGUCACAAAUAUAUAGGGG